rnacentral:rRNA from 1 species
UACGUAGGGGGCAAGCGUUGUCCGGAAUCAUUGGGCUUAAAGGGCGCGUAGGCGGCGGCGUAAGUUCGUGGUGAAAUCCCAUCGGCUCAACCGUGGAAUUGCUUCGAAUACUGCGUCGCUCGAGGGAGAUAGGGGACCGCAGAACUGCCGGUGGAGCGGUGAAAUGUGUUGAUAUCGGCGGGAAUGCCAGUGCCGAAAGGGGCGGUCUGGACCUCUUCUGACGCUGAGGCGCGAAAGCUAGGGGAGCGAACGGG